GACGAACGCUGGCGGCGUGCUUAACACAUGCAAGUCGAACGGUGAAGCGCCUUCCUUUUUGGUGGGUGUGGAUGAGUGGCGAACGGGUGAGUAACACGUGAGUAACCUGCCCCCUUCUUCUGGAUAACCGCAUGAAAGUGUGGCUAAUAAGGGAUAUUCUGGGUCUGUCGCAUGAUGGGUCUGGGGAAGAUCUUGGUUCGGUAGAGGAUGGGCUCGCGGCCUCUCAGCUUGUUGGUGGGGUGAUGGCCUACCAAGGCGGUGACGGGUAGCCGGCCUGAGAGGGUGGACGGUCACACUGGGACUGAGACACGGCCCAGACGCCGACGGGAGGCAGCAGUGGGGAAUAUUGCACAAUGGGCGCAAGCCUGAUGCAGCGACGCCGCGUGAGGGAUGGAGGCCUUCGGGUUGUGAACCUCUUUCGCCAGUGAAGCAGGCCUGCCUCGUUUGUGGGUGGGUUGACGGUAGCUGGAGAAGAAGCGCCGGCUAACUACGUG
rnacentral:rRNA from 1 species